ensembl:lncRNA
AGCAGAUCAGCUCACAGAGCAACAAAUGUGGCCCACACCCAUUCAAGGGAGAGAGAGAGAAAAAAAAACACAUUGCGCAUAGGUCUCCAACUUAACACUCCUGUCAACUUAACAUCAUAACAGUUGCACAAAUUCAUCACGGAAAGGGAGUUGAAAGAAAACGUAUUGCUUGACUUGGACUUGUAUUGACUGUUCAUCAUGGAGGCACCAACAACAGCAGGUACAAUAAGCCACUCGGCAUCGGAAGAGGCCUUCAGCCACAUGGUCAGUCACAUCAUAGAACUCUUCACACAGCCCUCCGUAGCUGAAGAUCUGACAACAACUUCUGCACAUAUGACUGAAACAAUCUCAGACACUUCUGUGGGAGUUCUGACAACAACUUCUGCACAUAUGACUGAAACAACCUCAGAUGCUUUUUUAGUGGGAGCCGCCAUCGUAAAAGGUGUAUCCUUUGAAGUCCUUUUCGUAGGAGUCAUUCUUGUGGUGGUACUGGUGGUGGUACUGGUACUGGUGCUGGUACUGUGUCACAACGGCAAGCAUAAGGGCACUUACCACACCAACGAGGCCGAGUGUGGUGAUUCUGAUUCUGUCGACACGUAUGGUGUUGCCUCUCAAAGCGAACUUGAGAUUUUGAAUGAGGAAGAAUAGAAAGAAGUACACUUCAUUUGAAACAGGACUUUUUCCGAUUCUAAACCGGGGCCAGUUGUCAACUCAAGAUGCCAAAUAUUUUCUACGGAAUUGGUAAUGCCUAUGAUGGUCAUCUAAUUUCAAGGCAACAUUUAUAUGGGGCAUACAACCAUCUCAGCUCUACAGAUUUUGCCACGAAGAGACAGAAUCGUUAGAUCACUUAUUUUUGUAUUGCCCAUAUAUACACUAUAUAUACAAAAUUAUGUGGACACCCAUUAGUGGAUUUGGCUAUUUCAGCCACAUUACAGCCUUAUUUCCCUCAUCAAUCAAUAUAAAGAAACACUUUAAUAAACAAUUAAUAUUCAUUACAUGUGACUAACUUCAAGCUUACAAUUAGUACAGUAGUUAAACCAAUAUCAGAUUGUUGAGGUUUCGAAAAGAUGUAAAAACUAGAGAAAUUUUACAAUCCUUUUUGUCUUCCUUUUAAAAAAAAUGUUUAUACUCAAAAGAUAGUACCUUGUUUGAAUUUCUAUUAUGAGGGUGUUGAGCGAGCUUAAUGCAUAAUAAUGUAUAGCAUUGCUGAAUGUAAUAUCUGUUUUCAAUUUUUUUCUAAAUUGACGUCCAGUAGUAAUCUGAGCUUGUAAAAUGAAAUCAAGGCACAGGCAUCUUUCCUAACGCCAAACUGGAUGUUUUGGUUUUUUUGGCCUGAAGGUACCAAUAACUGAGUAAAGGAAAUGUUACGGCAAGGACCAUAAGAACACACAAAAAUACUUUCAUGAAACUUGAGACAUUUCACCUAUGACAAUACUGGGAACAAAACAGUCAAAAAAAUGUAAAUUCCCCUUCUUCUAAUGCAAGUCUCUGUAACUAAUAUAUUACCAUGUGAUUAAAGAGAAGCGACCUUGUUUUGCCUGAUGAAAACAGUGUCUAAUUAGCAGUAAAACACUUGUUCCAGAGAGGAAGGACUUUUUGUAUCAACAAGGCAACAACAGGGAAGUUUCAAAAGGAAACUGAAGACAGCCGAAUCACACUGCCCCAGCUAGGUGGAAAGGCUUCCAUGUAGUUCAGAGAGGGCAUAUCAACAGGAACGGCCUGAUAAAUGCUCAAAGUAUUAACAUCCCAAAAUACUGUAUCUGUGACUAAAUGUGGUCCAGUUUCUGUUGACGAUAAUGCAUGUCUGUUGUUCUAUCAUGUGAAAGUCCCAUUCGAUUAGCGUUGCGUAUGUAUCAAGCUACACAUUUGAUAAAUUUGCACAGUCAUGGACUAAAUUGUUUUUUUUGUUUUUUCAAAUGAAGAGUUUACUUGUAUACCCAGUCGAAAAAUCGGAUUAUUCAACACAACAUCUGGGUUCAGAAAACCAAGAUAUAGGAGCAAAAGUCUGCACUUCAAUAGUAUGUGUUAAUGAGAUUUAGAAGCU